AUAUAUAAAAUAUCUAUUGCGACUUUAAAAUCACCAUAAAAUCAAUGAAAGAAAACAGUCAUUGUUUAUAUUUAUAUGUAUGUAAGACCUUCUUCAAUAGUUUACUCUAGUUUUUAUUCUAAAAUAGAGUAAAUCUAUAAUAGAGUUUGCUCCAAAGGUACUCUAUUUUAGAGUAGAAAAUAGAGUGAUGAAAAAAAAAACAAAUUACUCUAUGUUUAGAGUAAACUUAUUUUUCAUUCUAUUAUAGAGUGAUAAAUAGAGUACCAAUCAAAUAUUUUUACUAUAAACUCUAUUUUGAAGCGAAAAAUAGAAUGAAGUUGGAAAUGCCCUAAUAAUGUAUUAGAGAUUAACCCGAAAUGAUUACCAAUACACAAAAGAGUCGACCGUGACUAGGAUCAAGAACCAUCGCUUUUAUCAUCAUUCUCUUUGCUAAACAACUCACAACCAC
rnacentral:lncRNA from 1 species